UACGGAGGGAGCUAGCGUUGUUCGGAAUUACUGGGCGUAAAGCGCACGUAGGCGGCUUUGUAAGUUAGCGGUGAAAGCCCGGGGCUCAACCCCGGAAUUGCCUUUAAGACUGCAUCGCUUGAAUCCGGGAGAGGUGAGUGGAAUUCCGAGUGUAGAGGUGAAAUUCGUAGAUAUUCGGAAGAACACCAGUGGCGAAGGCGGCUCACUGGACCGGUAUUGACGCUGAGGGACGAAAGCGUGGGGAGCAAACAGG
rnacentral:rRNA from 1 species